rnacentral:lncRNA from 11 species
CCUGAUAGGGGAAUUCUGAGAGUGCCUUGGACCACAAGAAGAUCCAACCAGUCCAUCCUCCAUCGACUGAACGACAUCGACGGGGGAGAGAUAAUCAAUUAACAAUGGUGCUGGGAAGGAAUCACUUCCGGAAGGGAUGGAGGAGGCUGCCAAGGAAGAAAGAAAAGAAGAAGCCACAGUUUGCCAGAUUUGUGAGGCUUCCCAAUCUACACACCACCUCUGCCUCAGAUAGAGUGCUACUCAACCCCAUUAGCUCCCAUUAGCCCCCAUUCGCCAAAAAGAUCCAGCUGCUCUCAUCAGGCUCAUUUUUAUGUAUUCCGCAGCCAAAUCCCCCAAAUCGCCAGAAUCCUGGACAACAAAAUGAUAUUGUGCACACCCCUAUUGCUUGCAACAAAUCUUGCAUGUUUCUUUUAAAGUCUUUAAAAUAUUAUGACUUUUAUAGUUGGAUGUUGAUAAAAACCCAAAAAGUAUACUGUUACAAUCAAAUUUCCUGUGUGUGUACAUGUGCACACACUGGCUGCCUGUCUACCUUCAAGGUAUCUGUUAACUCAUGAUAAACCCAUGAAUUACACAGCGGUUUCUUAAAAAGGAGUACCCAGAAGUAUUUGUCAUUGCCUUCUGUGAAUUAUAAUCUACAGCAGCACUUGGUAUUCUUAAUAGCCCUUCUUCCAAGUAUUUAUUAGGCCUGGCCUUGCUUAGCUUCCAAUAACAGACAGGAUCUGGUACCAUCAGGGUAUUUAGGUUCUUUAUAGAUCUUUAUUUAGAAGUAAAGCUAAUUAGUUCAAUAGGGAUCAUUGUAAAUUGUGUAUAGCAAGUGUAGGCAAGUUCUAGGUCAGUUGUUCCCAACCCUUUUGGCUCGCAGAACCCUUUUUAGAAUCAGUUUCUGUGCUGGAGCCCCGGGCCUACCCUAUGUCUUACAAGUUAAUGGUGUUUAGGAGUAGUGUUAUGUGGGGGAGGAAGAGGGGAUAGGUAAUAAUGGAAUGUAAAGUAAAGGGAUAGCUAAACAAUUGUGCAAUGUCCAUGCAAUGAAAUUGUAUUUUUAAAACUUUGAAAUUUACCAUAAUAGCUCAGUUUAUUCUCAACUACCACCAAUGCAUAUGAUAUUGUCAAAACUUGGUCAUGCAUGCUUUUUGUUUCUUAUUUUUUAAUUUCAUUCAGUUUGUAUUUAUUUUAUUUUCCUGGAGUGGUUGUGGAGCCCAUGGGAAAUCCACGAAGGGUCCUUAGGGUUCCACAGAGCAUAGGUUGGGAAUGAUUCGGUCAUUGUUGACCUCUCUGACACCUUGGAGGGCUCAC